rnacentral:rRNA from 1 species
GAGUUUGAUCAUGGCUCAGAUUGAACGCUGGCGGAAUGCUUUACACAUGCAAGUCGAACGGCAGCACGGGUGCUUGCACCUGGUGGCGAGUGGCGAACGGGUGAGUAAUGCGUCGGAACGUACCGAGUAAUGGGGGAUAACGCAGCGAAAGUUGUGCUAAUACCGCAUACGCCCUGAGGGGGAAAGUGGGGGACCGCAAGGCCUCACGUUAUUCGAGCGGCCGACGUCUGAUUAGCUAGUUGGUGGGGUAAAGGCCUACCAAGGCGACGAUCAGUAGCGGGUCUGAGAGGAUGAUCCGCCACACUGGGACUGAGACACGGCCCAGACUCCUACGGGAGGCAGCAGUGGGGAAUUUUGGACAAUGGGGGCAACCCUGAUCCAGCCAUUCCGCGUGAGUGAAGAAGGCCUUCGGGUUGUAAAGCUCUUUCAGUUGGAACGAAACGGUACGCUCUAACAUAGCGUGCUAAUGACGGUACCGACAGAAGAAGCACCGGUUAACUACGUGCCAGCAGCCGCGGUAAUACGUAGGGUGCGAGCGUUAAUCGGAAUUACUUGGGCGUUAAAGCGUGCGCAGGCGGAUUGUUAAAGCAAGAUGUGAAAAUCCCCCGGGCUUAACCUGGGGAAUGGCAUUUUGAACUGGCAGUCUAGAGUGCGUCAGAGGGGGGUGGAAUUCCACGUGUAGCAGUGAAAUGCGUAGAGAUGUGGAGGAACACCGAUGGCGAAAGGCAGCCCCCCUGGGAUGACACUGACGCUCAUGUACGAAAGCGUGGGUAGCAAACAGGAUUAGAUACCCUGGUAGUCCACGCCCUAAACGAUGUCAACUGGUUGUUGGGGGAGUGAAAUCCCUUAGUAACGAAGCUAACGCGUGAAGUUGACCGCCUGGGGAGUACGGUCGCAAGAUUAAAACUCAAAGGAAUUGACGGGGACCCGCACAAGCGGUGGAUGAUGUGGAUUAAUUCGAUGCAACGCGAAAAACCUUACCUACCCUUGACAUGUCCGGAAUCCUGAAGAGAUUUGGGAGUGCUCGAAAGAGAGCCGGAACACAGGUGCUGCAUGGCUGUCGUCAGCUCGUGUCGUGAGAUGUUGGGUUAAGUCCCGCAACGAGCGCAACCCUUAUCAUUAGUUGCUACGCAAGGGCACUCUAAUGAGACUGCCGGUGACAAACCGGAGGAAGGUGGGGAUGACGUCAAGUCCUCAUGGCCCUUAUGGGUAGGGCUUCACACGUCAUACAAUGGUCGGUACAGAGGGUUGCCAAGCCGCGAGGUGGAGCCAAUCCCAGAAAGCCGAUCGUAGUCCGGAUUGUUCUCUGCAACUCGAGAGCAUGAAGUCGGAAUCGCUAGUAAUCGCGGAUCAGCAUGUCGCGGUGAAUACGUUCCCGGGUCUUGUACACACCGCCCGUCACACCAUGGGAGUGGAAUCUGGCAGAAGUAGGUAGCCUAACCGCAAGGAGGGCGCUUACCACGCUGGGUUUCAUGACUGGGGUGAAGUCGUAACAAGGUAACC